rnacentral:rRNA from 1 species
AAUCAACGCUGGCGGCGUGCCUAACACAUGCAAGUCGAACGCGAAAGCCCCGCAAGGGGUAAGUAGAGUGGCAAACGGGUGAGUAACACGUGGGUGACCUGCCUUCGAGUGGGGGAUAACGUCCCGAAAGGGACGCUAAUACCGCAUGACAUCCUGCUUUUGAAAAAGCGGAGAUCAAAGCUGGGGAUCGCAAGACCUAGCGCUUGAAGAGGGGCCCGCGCCUGAUUAGCUAGUUGGUGAGGUAACGGCUCACCAAGGCGACGAUCAGUAUCCGGCCUGAGAGGGCGGACGGACACACUGGGACUGAGACACGGCCCAGACUCCUACGGGAGGCAGCAGUGGGGAAUUGUUCGCAAUGGGCGCAAGCCUGACGACGCAACGUCGCGUGGAGGACGAAGAUCUUCGGGUCGUAAACUCCUGUCGAGCGGGACGAACGCUUCGCGGAUGAAUAAUCCGCGGAAUUGACGGUACCGCUAAAGGAAGCCCCGGCUAACUCCGUG